UACGGAGGGUGCAAGCGUUAUCCGGAUUCACUGGGCUUAAAGGGUGCGUAGGCGGGCAGGUAAGUCCGUGGUGAAAUCUCUGAGCUUAACUCAGAAACUGCCAUGGAUACUAUUUGUCUUGAAUAUUGUGGAGGUAAGCGGAAUAUGUCAUGUAGCGGUGAAAUGCUUAGAUAUGACAUAGAACACCAAUUGCGAAGGCAGCUUACUACACAGUUAUUGACGCUGAGGCACGAAAGCGUGGGGAGCAAACAGG
rnacentral:rRNA from 1 species